UACGUAGGGUGCGAGCGUUGUCCGGAAUUACUGGCGUAAAGAGCUCGUAGGUGGUUGUCGCGUUGUUCGUGAAACUCACAGCUCAACUGUGGCGUGCGGCGAUACGGCAGACUAGAGUACUGCAGGAGACUGGAUUCUGUGUAGCGUGAAUGCGCAGAUAUCAGAGACACGUGCGAGCGGUCUCUGGCAGUACUGACGCUGAGAGCGAAGCGUGGAGCGACAG
rnacentral:rRNA from 1 species